UACGAAGGGGGCUAGCGUUGCUCGGAAUUACUGGGCGUAAAGCGUGCGCAGGCGGUUUUGUAAGUCUGAUGUGAAAUCCCCGGGCUCAACCUGGGAAUUGCAUUGGAGACUGCAAGGCUAGAAUCUGGCAGAGGGGGGUAGAAUUCCACGUGUAGCAGUGAAAUGCGUAGAGAUGUGGAGGAACACCGAUGGCGAAGGCAGCCCCCUGGGUCAAGAUUGACGCUCAUGCACGAAAGCGUGGGGAGCGAACAGG
rnacentral:rRNA from 1 species